AUCAUGGCUCAGAUUGAACGCUGGCGGCAGGCCUAACACAUGCAAGUCGAACGGUAACAGGAAGCAGCUUGCUGUUUCGCUGACGAGUGGCGGACGGGUGAGUAAUGUCUGGGAAACUGCCUGAUGGAGGGGGAUAACUACUGGAAACGGUAGCUAAUACCGCAUAACGUCGCAAGACCAAAGAGGGGGACCUUCGGGCCUCUUGCCAUCGGAUGUGCCCAGAUGGGAUUAGCUAGUAGGUGGGGUAACGGCUCACCUAGGCGACGAUCCCUAGCUGGUCUGAGAGGAUGACCAGCCACACUGGAACUGAGACACGGUCCAGACUCCUACGGGAGGCAGCAGUGGGGAAUAUUGCACAAUGGGCGCAAGCCUGAUGCAGCCAUGCCGCGUGUAUGAAGAAGGCCUUCGGGUUGUAAAGUACUUUCAGCGGGGAGGAA
rnacentral:rRNA from 1 species